rnacentral:pre_miRNA from 1 species
UACCGAGGUUUUCCUUGGUAGUUAACUGCAGUCGAUUAUUGACUUCCUCGGCAGUUAACUGCCGAGAGGGCAA